UGUUUCGGCUAGGGGGCCAUCCCGGCUUACCAACCCGAUGCAAACUGCGAAUACCGGAGAAUGUUAUCACGGGAGACACACGGCGGGUGCUAACGUCCGUCGUGAAGAGGGAAACAACCCAGACCGCCAGCUAAGGUCCCAAAGUCAUGGUUAAGUGGGAAACGAUGUGGGAAGGCCCAGACAGCCAGGAUGUUGGCUUAGAAGCAGCCAUCAUUUAAAGAAAGCGUAAUAGCUCACUGGUCGAGUCGGCCUGCGCGGAAGAUGUAACGGGGCUAAACCAUGCACCGAAGCUGCGGCAGCGACACUUUAGUGUUGUUGGGUAGGGGAGCGUUCUGUAAGCCGUUGAAGGUGUCCUGUGAGGGGUGCUGGAGGUAUCAGAAGUGCGAAUGCUGACAUAAGUAACGAUAAAGCGGGUGAAAAGCCCGCUCGCCGGAAGACCAAGGGUUCCUGUCCAACGUUAAUCGGGGCAGGGUGAGUCGACCCCUAAGGCGAGGCCGAAAGGCGUAGUCGAUGGGAAACGGGUUAAUAUUCCCGUACUUGGUGUUACUGCGAAGGGGGGACGGAGAAGGCUAUGUUGGCCGGGCGACGGUAGUCCCGGUUUAAGCGUGUAGGUGUGUGUUCCAGGUAAAUCCGGUUCACUUUAACACUGAGGCGUGAUGACGAGGCACCACGGUGCUGAAGCAACAAAUGCCCUGCUUCCAGGAAAAGCCUCUAAGCAUCAGGUAACAUCAAAUCGUACCCCAAACCGACACAGGUGGUCAGGUAGAGAAUACCAAGGCGCUUGAGAGAACUCGGGUGAAGGAACUAGGCAAAAUGGUGCCGUAACUUCGGGAGAAGGCACGCUGACAC
rnacentral:rRNA from 2 species